GAGAGGGCAGACAUGAAAAUAUUUGGAAGGUGCCUCCUAUAAGAACUACUGGUAGUUUAUAUAUGGAGGUGUUAGACAAGAAUCAAAGGUGGCACUAUUUUUGCCCUCAAAUAAUUGGAAAUUAAUUUUGACUACUCUCUUCAUUGUUAGGUGCCAGUCCAGAUGAUCUGCUUUUCUUUUCUCAACAGGUUAAGCACUGGUCCUGGAUGUUUAAUAAAAUGCUGCGUCUAUCACAGAAGGAAACGAUAAUCUGGAUUAUCAUGUUUUAACAACUCAGAGGAAUUGUUGAAAACCUAUUCUUAUUCAACAGCUAUAGUGCGAGGAUUUUAGAAGACUGCAAAGAAGAAAAGAAAACCACUAUCUUGCACAAGUCAUACUGAGUUACUUAACUUCUGCAAGGACAUAUUAAGAUAAUAAGCAAAAUUUGCAAUUAAAUUAUUCAUGCACAAAAUUG